rnacentral:lncRNA from 1 species
CUGACUCAUUAAGCAGAUAUUUGCACCUCUUGUUUUGUGCAAGGUUUUCAGUUUUGCUCCUAACUUUUUCAUACACAUGCCUUCACUGACUUGGAUUGCACAACUGGAAGACCAACUAUAUCCUAAAUUAGUGUUAUGUACUAACAGGUCAGUGUAUCUGCAUAUUUUCCAACUUACUCAUCUUCAUUGUUUCCUCUAGUAGGCUGAACACAGGACAUCUUGAGCUACUGCAUGGUUGACUCUUCUGCAUUACCACAGGAUCUCCUCCUGCAUUACUGAUGGAUCUUGGACAUGGAGCAAUGUGCUACAUGGUAGACAGAUCCUAUGUAAAGGGAAUGAAAAGCCAUUACUGUGCAGAUUCAGAAGAAGCAUGAAAAGCGUAUGGAAAUCUCUUGUCUUCCCACUGGGUAUCCUCUUUCAUGGAAAAAUGAAGCUGAUGUGCAACAUGAACUAUUGUCUCAUCUGUGAGUAGGGUAUUGAGCUCUCUUUGCUCCCACAAUUCAGGAGGUUCCUCAGAGGCCAGAUACUCUUAGAAAUGUAAUUUGAUGCCUAUAUCAAAGCAGGAUGUUCCUUUUAGUUUCUCCAGGGCUCUGAAACAUUCCUUCUGCUUCCCCACUAAUGCUUGCGGCCAGUUGCAUCUGGUAAGGAAGGAAGGGAUCAAUUCUUAAAGUAACCAGAUUAUGUCAGAGAUGGGAAUAGGCAGAAGUAGACAAACAACAGCCAGAAUGAUCCAUCAGUCAUUCCCAAGGGGCUCUUCACAAAUAGCCUUGAUGUACUCUCAGUGCUGAAAUUUAUGAGCAGUGUUAACAAACAAAGCUCAAGGCAUUGCUAGAGGAACAAAGUGAUUUCAGUGAUUAUUUGCCACAGGCAAACCAAUAAGCAAGCC